UACGAAGGGGGCUAGCGUUGCUCGGAAUCACUGGGCGUAAAGCGCACGUAGGCGGAUUGCUAAGUCAGGGGUGAAAUCCUGGAGCUCAACUCCAGAACUGCCCUUGAUACUGGCGGUCUCGAGUCCGGGAGAGGUGAGUGGAACUGCGAGUGUAGAGGUGAAAUUCGUAGAUAUUCGCAAGAACACCAGUGGCGAAGGCGGCUCACUGGCCCGGUACUGACGCUGAUGCGCGAAAGCGUGGGGAGCAAACGGG
rnacentral:rRNA from 1 species